rnacentral:lncRNA from 1 species
CGACAUAAACCGAAUCGAGAAAAAACUGACUUAACUGGUUUGAUUUAAUUCUAAUAUUUAAAAAAUCGAUCUACUUGAUUUGGUUUCUUUUUAGGAAAAAAUCGAUCCAAAUCGAACCCUAAGCACCUUUGGUCAUCGGUAUGCAGAAGAUAGUAAAAAUCGAUAAUCAAGCCGGUAUUUAUAAAUAUUGCACUCCAAUAUUUCCAUACACCCAUAGGACUAAAUCAAAAACAAAGAGUAAAAGUUAUUUUCGUCCUUUUGCCGCUGAAAUAAAGCCUGUGCCAGGAGAGAGCCUACACAUCUUGCUGCGCACGAAAAUGAGGUACUGCCAGUCUGCCACUGCCACUGCCACUGUUGUCUUUUGGUAUCUUUUUAUCAGCAGAUUAUGAUUUACCUAGAGAUAAGGAACUGCAUGCACCUUCAAGUAAAUUAUU